rnacentral:rRNA from 1 species
CCUACGGGUGGCAGCAGUGAGGAAUAUUGCUCAAUGGGCGCGAGCCUGAACCAGCCACGUAGCGUGAAGGAUGACUGCCCUACGGGUUGUAAACUCCUUUUAUAAGGGAGUAAAUUAAGCCACGUGUGCCUUUUUGUUUGUAGUUUAUGAAUACGGUUCGGCUAACCCCGGUACAGCAGCCGCGUCAAUACGGAGACGCAGUGCGUUGUCCGGAUUUAGUGGGGUUAAAGGGCGCGUAGCUGGGUUGUUAAGUCAGUUGUGAAAGUGUGCGGCUCAACCGGAAAAUUGCAAUUGAUACAGGCAGCCUUGAGUACAGUUGAGGUAAGCGGAAUUCGUGGUGUAGCGGUGAAAUGCUUAGAUAUCACGAAGAACUCCGAUUGCGAAGGCAGGUUACUAAACUGCCACUGACAUUGAUGCUCGAAAGUGUGGGUAGCAAACAGGAUUAGAUACCCUGGUAGUC